rnacentral:rRNA from 1 species
AGUAGGUGGGCACUCUAAGGAGACUGCCGGUGACAAACCGGAGGAAGGUGGGGAUGACGUCAAGUCAUCAUGGCCCUUACGGCCUGGGCUACACACGUGCUACAAUGGUCGGUACAAAGGGUUGCCAAGCCGCGAGGUGGAGCUAAUCCCAUAAAACCGAUCGUAGUCCGGAUCGCAGUCUGCAACUCGACUGCGUGAAGUCGGAAUCGCUAGUAAUCGUGAAUCAGAAUGUCACGGUGAAUACGUUCCCGGGCCUU